AACCCAAGGCGGAUUAGAGUGGGCCAAAUAGAGU
rnacentral:tRNA from 1 species